UACAGAGGUCCCAAGCGUUGUUCGGAUUCAUUGGGCGUAAAGGGUGUGUAGGUGGCGCCGUAAGUCGGGUGUGAAAUUUCGGAGCUUAACUCCGAACCUGCAUUCGAUACUGCGGUGCUUGAGGACUGGAGAGGAGACUGGAAUUCAUGGUGUAGCAGUGAAAUGCGUAGAGAUCAUGAGGAAGACCAGUGGCGAAGGCGGGUCUCUGGGCAGUAACUGACGCUGAGGAGCGAAAGCGUGGGGAGCGAACAGG
rnacentral:rRNA from 1 species